rnacentral:rRNA from 1 species
GUGAGGAAUAUUGGACAAUGGAUGGAAAUCUGAUCCAGCCAUGCCGCGUGCAGGAAGACGGCCCUAUGGGUUGUAAACUGCUUUUAUACGGGAGCAAUAAGGUCUAUGCAUAGAUUGAUGAGAGUACCGUAUGAAUAAGCAUCGGCUAACUCCGUGCCAGCAGCCGCGGUAAUACGGAGGAUGCGAGCGUUAUCCGGAUUUAUUGGGUUUAAAGGGUGCGUAGGCGGCUUUGUACGUCAGCGGUGAAAUUUUGCAGCUGAACUGUAAAAUUGCCGUUGAAACUGUCGGUCUUGAGUGCGAAUGAGGUAGGCGGAAUGCGUGGUGUAGCGGUGAAAUGCAUAGAUAUCACGCAGAACUCCGAUUGCAAAGGCAGCUUACUAAGCUACAACUGACACUGAAGCACGAAAGCGUGGGUAUCAAACAGGAUUAGAAACCCGGGAGUCC